rnacentral:rRNA from 1 species
UACGUAGGGUGCGAGCGUUAAUCGGAAUUACUGGGCGUAAAGCGUGCGUAGACGGUCAAGUAAGUCGGGUGUGAAAGCCCCGGGCUCAACCUGGGAAUUGCAUUCGAGACUGCGUGGCUAGGGUGCGGAAGAGGGAAGCGGAAUUCCCGGUGUAGCGGUGAAAUGCGUAGAGAUCGGGAGGAACACCAGAGGCGAAAGCGGCGACCUGGACAGGUACUGACACUCAACUACGAAAGCGUGGGGAGCAAACAGG